AAACGGUUAGGAUAUUCAGACGCCCUUCUUCUUACAAGUUCCAACUCGAUUCCAUUGGUCUGCACUUCGUGCGUCUCCAUUUCUCUGCUGUCUCUUCUCGGACAGAGCUUUUAACUGCUCGUUUCACAGUCUCAGCUACUUCUCACCUGAAAAGUUUCUCGCUUCAGAAUUUCAAUGAGACCCCACGAGUUGAGGAGUUUCUCCUGAUGAUUGACUCGCCAGAAUUCGAAAUUCGAUUUGUGCCCUAUCAUUCAUCCAUGGCUUUUGUCAACGCCAUCGAAGUGUUCUCUGCUCCUAAUGACCUCGAAAUUCCGUCAGACUCCGACAAGAAUCUGCAUACGGUUUACAGAUUAAACGUAGGAGGCAAGAAUAUCACACCAGAAAACGACACCUUGGGAAGAACUUGGUCAGUUGACGAGGACUUCCUCUACGAAAAAGAUUCUGCGAGGAACAUUAAUUCAACACAAAAGCCUAACUACGAGUCAGGGACAGCGACGCCAUUCACUGCUCCUGAUUUUGUCUAUCAGACAGCGAAAACGAUGAACCAUAGCUCGAAUGAGGGGAUGGCAGAUGGGAUGUUGAUGAACGUUACUUGGUCAUUUAAGGUCAAUAGCAACUCUAGACACUUCAUCAGGGUUCACUUCUGUGAUAUCAAGAGUGAAUCACAAAAUCCCGACUCCGAUUUCUAUCUCUAUGUAAACGGACAAUCACGACUAGAUGUAAAGCCUUCAGAGCGUAUUAGGUUGGUGACUCCGUUUUUCAAAGAUGUGAAUGUCUCUGAUGGUUUUGGACUCUUGAAUGUUACAAUAGGUACUAAGGAUUCCACUAAGGAUGCUGGUUUUCUGAAUGGUCUGGAGGUGAUGGAGUUUUUGAAAAAGUCAGAUUCUUCAGAUAAAAGUAGUUUCCGGGUUUACAUCAUCGCUGGCUGUGUUGUUGCUGCAUCGGUUCUGGUAUUGAGUUUGUUGUUCACAGUUUUCUUGAAGCGGAGGAGAUCGAAGAAGGAGAAUAAGUCAGACGCUGAGGUCACUGAAUGGUCUCCUUUGCCAUUGUACAGAGGUGGUGGGAGUUCCGACAAUAGACCUUCUGAUCCGGUCAACAAUUCUCCAUUACGCAGCAAUAGAACUUUUGAUCCGGUCCAUAAUUCGCCAUUACGCAACCUAAACUUAGGCUUGACCAUUCCCUUCAUAGACAUUAUGAGAGCUACAAACAAUUUCGAUGAGCAGUGGUUGAUCGGGAGAGGCGGUUUUGGAGACGUUUACAAAGCCAUUCUUCAAGAUGGAAGCAAAGCGGCUAUCAAGAGAGGCAAGAGUGGUUCAGGACAAGGACUAUUGGAGUUUCAAACAGAGAUUCAAGUCCUGUCGAGAAUCCGGCACAGGCACCUCGUUUCUCUAACGGGUUACUGCGAAGAGAACUCGGAGAUGAUCCUUGUCUACGAGUUUAUGGAGAAAGGUACGCUUAAAGAGCAUCUAUACGGCUCGGAUUUGCCUUCACUGACAUGGAAACAGAGACUAGAGAUUUGCAUCGGAGCAGCUAGAGGUUUGCAUUAUCUCCACAGUGGCUCAGAAGGAGCAAUCAUUCACAGAGAUGUCAAAUCCACAAACAUACUACUAGACGAGAACACCGUAGCCAAAGUCGCGGAUUUCGGGCUCUCAAACUCGCGGUUCGUAAUCAAGAUCCAAUCAAUAUCAGCACUAACAUCAAAGGAACAUUCGGUUACCUCGAUCCUGAGUAUCUGCAGACACACAUCUUGACGGAGAAAUCAGAUGUUUACGCUUUCGGAGUCGUUCUCCUCGAGGUCCUGUGCGCGAGAUCGGCUCUCGAUCCUUCUCUUCCUCACGAGGAAGUGAAUCUAGCGGAGUGGGCGAUGUUCUGCAAAUCCAAAGGGAUAAUCGAUGAGAUCUUAGAUCCGAAAUUGAUAGGUCAGAUCGAGCCGAGUUCGUUGAGGAAAUACAUGGAAAUCGCGGAGAAGUGUUUGAAAGAGUACGGCGACGAGAGGCCGAGCAUGGGGGAUGUGAUCUGGGAUCUGGAGUAUGUUCUUCAGCUUCAGAUGAUGCCGAUUCGCAGAGAGCCUCACGAGGAUAGCGCCGCGACGAUCUCCGGCGGCGGAGGCGAAAGCUCGUUGGUGAUUCCGAGGUUGAUGGUGAGUGAUUCGUUUAGCUCAAACUCGAUUGUUCAGAAGAACGAAGGGAAGAGUAGCUAUGGAGGUACAGAUUCAUCGGAGAGUCGAGUUUUCUCCCAAUUGAAGAUCUCCGAAGCAAGAUAAAAUUUCCUAUGAAACAUUCUGAUUUGAAAAGCGUCUGGUUUAAAGCUUUUGAUAUUAAAAACCGGUUAUUGCCGGUUUAAAUAUAAUCAUUUUAAAACAUAUGCAAAGUAACGAGUCAAUUGAAUGUAAUAUAAAAUUAAAACCCGGUUAUCGUCGGUUUAAAGUUAAUUAUUCUAAGACAAAUGCUAAUUUCCGAAUCGAAAAACAAUUCAAUUUAAUUAACCGAUAAAAACCUAAUUUCAAGAAAAGUUCUGAUUUGAUAAGUGAUUGGUUUAAUUUUUGAAAUUGAAACCCGGUUCCUGCCGGUAUAACGACUCAGCUGUUUGUGAUGUCGGCGAUGAACGAGUCCAGAUUCCGAGCCGAUGAUCCACCAGACGCCAACGCCGAUCUCGCCGCGUGCUUCAGCUCCGUCACUCUCCUCCUCAUAUCCGCGGCGGCAGAUCCUUCCCUCACGGCCUCAAUACAUCUCUCCACCUCUUCAACCUUAAGCUCUCCGUCGACAGCGUCGUUCCUCAUCCUCACUCCGAUCCCGAACACAUCCACAAGCAAUCUCGCGUCAAGCGGCUGAUCAAUCCAGCUCGGGUACGCCACCACCGGAACACCAGUCACCACCGUCUCCAUCGUCGAGUUCCAUCCACAGUGCGUGACGAAACAAGAGAUCGCCACGUGACUCAGUAUCCACUCUUGUGGACCCCACUCAAUCACAAUACCUUGACCUUCUCUAACCAUCUCCUGCAAAACGUCGACGUUUUCGCCUUUCUCCUUUGGCCUAAUCACCCAGAGAAACGAAACUCCUCUGUUUCUCAGAGCCGUUGCUAUGCUCUUAACUUGAGUCUCCGAAGAUUUCAGCAAACUUCCAAAAGAAAUGUAAACAACCGAAGACCUAGCUUGCUUGUCAAGCCACUCCAUACAAUACUCAUCCGAUUUCCACAUAUCAAGAUUUUUACCAUCUAGGGUUUUGUCUUCUUCAUCAGCUCCCAACAGAAAUGGAGAAACCAGAGGACCAAUUGGGAUCAUGGGUUUUAAACCAGACAUCGAUUCGAUUAUCUCUGAUUCGAGCUCGUAGAACGAAUUAACCAAAACCCAUUUCACAUCUUUCAAGCAAUCGACGAACUCCACCAUUAGGCUAUUGAAAUGACUUCCUGAAGAAGGCAAGAGAAACGAAGGGAGAUCUCCAACUUCCAACAAUGGUAAACCUGGCAAUUCAACCGUUUGAUUCAAAUCUUCGAGAUUCUCAGGGAAAGCAUUCGUCUUCAUGUAGUAACGGUAAUAAACCGAGAAAGCUCCACAAGCUUCGAUCCAGAGGAUUGCACAGGGGAUGUUAUAUGCAGCUGCAACACUUGGAACCCAUGGAGCAAAAGGCACAGUGACGAUGCAAGAGAAUCUCUUUGAUUCGACGAUUUUAGACAAGUUCUUGGCUCCGACUUUUUUCAACGAUGGUAUGAGAGAAUCUGCGGCUCUUGUGUGGUCUUUAGGCAGACCGUCGGGGAAGAAAGCAAGGUCCACUGGGCUACGGUGAUGUUCUUCGGCGGCGGUGGUGGUGGAGAGGAGGUCACGGGUUUUCUCGGUGGUAGCGAGAGUGAAGCUAAGGUUUGGUCGUGAGAGAUGUUUGGCGAAUUUGAGCAUUGGAUUAAGAUGACCUUGAAAUGGUAGUGCUACCAAUAGAACAUGUGUUUCUUGACCCUCACUAUUUCUCAUUUCUGCUUUGUUUAGAGGUGUUACUUAUUAGACUUGAGUUGUGUAUGAGAUUGUGUGUAACUUGUAAUUGUGGUGGUAUAUAUAACAAUGGUUGCUUAACGAUAGAUUUUUGCUUAAAAUGAAGUUAUUAAGUGAGAUUUUGGUAAGAAAAAUCUAUAUAUAGUAAAAAUUGGUAACCCAAUAAAAUGUAAUAGAUUCAAAAGUUACCACGUUUAUUAGCACCCUGCGCCUUGUCCUUAACUCAAUUCAAAUCUUGUAUAAUUGUUGACCAAAAAAACACGAUAUAUAUACCAAUUCUAGUAUGGUUAAAGUCAACAGUCAUUACUAAUGAUUUAUGAAUCUUUUUGUAUAGUGUGACACUGAGAUCAUUGUAAUUUGUUAAUGACAAUCUAUAAACUGUAAUUGGUAAUCCAAUAAACGUUGGUCAAUAAAUUCAAAUUUAAUCAUGUGUUUCUAUGCUCUUGUAAAUAAAUAAAUAUAUGUUAUUUUCAAUUGUGUUAUGGUUAUGAUUAGAUUUAUAUAAAAAAUAUGGUUAUGAUUAGAUUUAUAUAAAAAAAAACAGGUCUCAAUUCAUUCGGAUCAGUCUCGUUUGUAUCUGUCUCACUUUUAGAUUUGAAAUCCGUUAAGCUCUAUUUAGUUUUUGGAACUAACAGAGUAAUCGGUUUAUACAUGCCAAAAUUCUUUUAAUCUAUUUAAAACCAUUUACGAUAUGAUGCUUAAACAUUCUUAAUAUUUAUUUUAAAUUAUAUAAACUAAGCUUUUGGAAGCUAAUCAGAAGCUAACACACCAGUAUAAUUACCAUUGUUUUUUUAUUAAAUAAUAAUUACCAAUGUUUCAAGGCAUGCUUGAAUAUUCCACUAAGAAAAAUCAUCGAAAUUGUUUAUACUAAUCUAAAAUCCUAGCAAAGGUGGGUGAAUCUUUUUUUUUAAAUAGUUAUACAUAUUUUCGAGAUGACAAAAUUUAACAAUAUGAUAAAAUCAUAUGAACACUCGAACAUUUAUGUAGAUUUUAGUUAUGUUAUAUAUCCAAGAAGAAAUGAAUAAUAUUAAGUAACAUCUAUUACAAAUAACAUAUCAAUUGGUAACAUCAGAUGGCAAAUCAAAUAACAUCAUUACGUAGUAAAUUCAUGUGCAUGCGUUACUAGCUAAGCUUGUAUUCACUUUAUAAAAGAAAAUACAAAAUAGCAAUAGCAAUAAUGAAGGGAAGAGCAGCUACGGAGGUACAGAUUCAUUGAUCGAAGAGUCGAGUUUUCUCCCAAUUGAAGAUCUCUGAAGCAAGAAAACAAAUAAUCUCUUGAAUCCUUCUGAUUUAAAUACCGACUGGUUUUAACUUUUGAUAAUAAAAUCCGGUUAUUGCCGGUUUAAAUAUAAACAUUUUUUUAAGUCGACAAAAAAAAACAUUUCAAAACAGAUGUAAAGUGAGUCAACACUAUGAUCGAUGACUUUCUAGUUGAUGAGAAACGUGCACAAAAAGAAAAGGGUAACACUAUGAUCGAUCACUUGCUUUCUCUCCAAGAAACUCAACCAGAUUAUUAUACGGAUGUCAUCGUCAAAGGACUCAUAGUUGUAAGUAUUGAGGAAUACAUUUAAUACAUCACUAACAACUAACAAGGCUAACUAAGCUUUUUAUAAUGACUAAUUCUUGACUUCUAUUUGGAUAGGUUAUGAUAUUUGCCGGAAAUGUAACAAGAACGUUAGAAUGGGCGAUGCUAAAUCUGUUGAACCAUCCAGAAGUACUAAAGAAAGCGAGGAUUGAAAUCGAUACAAACAUUGGUUUGGACAGGUUAAUAGAUGAACAGGAUGCGAAAAGUCUUCCUUACCUCCAAUGCAUCAUAUCAGAGAUUUUUCGACUUUACCCGGCAGCUCCUUUACUUGCUCCUCAUAGGGCUACAGAUGAUUGUAUAGUUGGAGGCUACGACUUCCCUCUUGGCACGACAUUAAUCGUGAACGUAUGGGCCGGCCAUUCACCGAGACCCAAACAUAUGGUAAGAGCCAGAAAAGUUCAAGUUAGAGCGGUUCGAGAAGAAAGGAGAAGAACAAAAGUUGAUGCCGUUUGGAAUGGGACGACGAGCUUGUCCCGGGUCUGGUCUAGCUCAACGGGUCGUGAGUUUGGCUCUCGGAUCGAUGAUUCAAUGUUUUGAAUGGGAGAGACUUGGAGAAGAAUAUGUUGACCUAAGCGAAGCAACCACAAUGCGUCCAACGACGCCGUUGCUAGCCAUGUGUAGAGCUUGUCCUAUUGUUCAUAAGAUUUUCAAUACUUCUUUUUGAGAUGUCACUCCCUUUUUAAAAAAUAUGUAUAUCCAUUUAUGUUAUAUCCAUUUUGAGAUGUAAUUAAAAUGAAAGACAAAGACUAGUCUUUGAUUUGCCUUAAGAUUUUCCAUUUUAUUAAAAUUCAAAAACUAUUUUUUUUUUUCAAAAACCAAAAUUUAGAAGUUAAAUGCUACUCCAUUAUCAAAUAAACUCACUUCUAAAUUUCUAUGAAUGAGGAGUAGUUUUUUACUUUGAGAAAGUGUGAAGAAAUUUUUCCAAUUUCUUAGUUUUUGUUUGUUUUUUUUUGAGAAAGGGUUAAGAAAAGGGAGCUUGUUUUAUAAUGGAAUCUCUCAUGCAAUUAUUCCCACCUGUCACUAGAGAUAUGUUCGUAACUUCGUAACGUCUCAUGCAAUUACUGACUAAUAAACAUGUGUGAUAAGUCACCAUUAAUAUUUAUUGUCUAUUUCUUUUGCUUUUAAUUAUUAGGGUUUUGAGUAGAAAUUUGUUUCUUUCUAAUAUUAUAGACAAUAUAUAUUGCUAGCGUUUACGUUUUUUAUUUUGGUUCAAAACAUAGUGGUUAAAAAUAAACAAAUCAUAAAUUUUUAUUAUUAGUCAUUAAUGAAUGAGAGACGUUACGAACAUAUCUUUAGUUUAUUAAAAAAAAAAAAAGAUAUCUUUAGUGACAGGUGUGAUAAUUGCAUGAGAGUUUUCAUUAUAAACUAAGCUACAUAAACUAAUAACUCCCACGUUCGAUUCAACACAUUUACAACAAGAAGAAGUUCUUGAUCUAAAAUGGAAACUUAUUUUCUUAUUUUAUCCCUCGCCAUCUUCUUUUUCAUUUCUCUUAAACUUUUGUUUAAUAAACCGCAUAACAAGUUUAACCUACCACCAAGUCCGGCGAGGCCACUACCGUUGAUUGGACACCUUCACCUCCUGAAGCAGCCUCUCCACCGCACAUUCCUAUCUUUCUCUCAAUCCCUCGGCAGUGCCCCAAUUUUCUCCCUCCGUCUUGGAAACCGUCUCGCGGUUGUCGUCUCCUCCUACUCCAUCGCAGAAGAAUGCUUCACGAAAAACGACAUCGUUUUGGCUAACCGACCAGAGUCCAUAGUCGGGAAAUACAUUGAGUACAACUUCACCACUGUGACCAGCGCGCCUUAUGGUGACCACUGGCGAAACUUGCGGCGUCUCAGCACCCUCGAGAUCUUCUCCUCGCACAAGCUCAAUGGCUUUAUAUCCGUCCGUAAGGACGAGAUCCGACACUUGCUACUUCGUCUCUCCAAAAACUCGCAACAUGUAUGUGAGCUUCUACAUAUUAGUACUCUAUGACUAUAUACAUUAUCAGAGUUUGUAACCUAGUAGUUUGUCUUAGUGUGGCCUCUAGGUCAUAACCUAUAUAUAUACAUUACUUGAAGAUCUGCUCAGAGUUUGUAACCUAGUAGUGUGGCCACUAAAUUAAAAGUCAUAACUUGAGUACCAUGCAACAAAAGUUUGAGAAUUAAUCAUUUGUUUAUUUGAUAAUAAAUUAGGGGUUUGCCAAGGUGGAGAUGAGAUCAUUGUUUAUGGAUUUGACUAUCAAUAACAUUCUCAGAAUGAUGGCUGGGAAAAGAUUUUAUGGUGAUGGAACAGAGCAAGACGACAAUGCACGGCGAGUGAGACAGCUUAUUGACGAGGUGGUAUCCUACGCCGGCGCCGGGAAUGCUACCGAUUAUAUCCCAAUCUUGCGUUGGAUCACAAGUUUUGAGAAACGGGUCAAGAACUUAGCGGGUCGGGUCGAUGAGUUCUUGCAGAGCCUGGUGGAUGAAAAACGUGCGGAUAAAGAAAAGGGCGACACUAUGAUGGAUCACUUGCUUUCUCUCCAAGAAAUCCAGCCUAAUUAUUACACAGAUAUCACUCUAAAGGGGAUUAUAGUUGUAAGUAUUUAUUUUCUACAUUUAUUAAUCUUGAAUAAUCUAUUUAAUAUAUAACAACACAAACUAAACAUUUGUUAAUUUAAUUUUUACAGGUUAUGAUACUUGCCGGAACUGAAACACUAACAGGAACAUUAGAAUGGGCUAUGUUGAAUUUGUUGAAUCAUCCAGAGGUAUUAACGAAAGUAAGAACCGAAAUCGAUACCAAAAUCGGUUUUGACCGGUUAAUAGAUGAACAAGAUAUUAAAAAGCUCCCUUAUCUCGAAGGGAUUGUGUUGGAGACCUUACGUCUCCACCCUGUAGCUCCUACACUUGUUCCACAUAUGACGUCAGAUGAUUGCAUGUUGGCCGGAUACGAUGUUCCAAGUGGAUCCAUGCUAUUGGUGAACGUAUGGGCCAUGCAUAGAGACCCGUCUCUAUGGGAAGAUCCAGAAAUGUUCAAGCCAGAGAGGUUCGAAAAUGAAAAUGAAAAUCAAAAGGUGUUGUCGUUUGGGAUUGGACGACGAUCAUGUCCCGGGGUUGGAUUAACUCAUCGGCUAGUGAGCUUGGCUCUUGGAUCGAUGGUUCAAUGUUUCGAAUGGGAGAGAAUUGGAGAAGAAUAUAUUGACACUAGAGAGGCACCUAUGAUGCGUCCAACUACCCCGUUGCAAGCCAUGUGUAAAACUUGUCCCAUUGUCCAUAAGAUUCUCGAUGCUUAUGCUUGAAUUGUAACUCUUCUUGGUUUGAUUUAUGUUCGGAAAUACUACAUCAACUUGUUUUGAGUUGGGAAAUAAUUCAAAAUCCUUCUAAGAACGCUCUCAUGCAAACUGUUGAAUGUAUCUUCAAGGUUCUGAUCACCAUCUAGCUGAGUCUUUACGGAAAAUUAGAUCGUCACUAAAUAUUAUCAUUUUACCUUCGAAUAUAUUGAUUUUGUUGCCCUGAUGAUACACUUGAAAUAAAUAAAAAACAACCAUAGAGACACUCAAAUAAAAAAAAAGCUCAUAGCUUUAAAAUUUCUUGUAUAUUUUGAAACUAAAAUUAAGCUAUAUUACUUAUACUGAUAUUCCAUUUCUUCACAGUAUGAUCUAAUGAUUUUUGCAAUCCUCUAUGCUUUUGUUGUUGCAAUUAUACUUAUAUCUCCAUUUCAUUACAGUAUGAUAUAUAUAUAUAUAUAUAUAUUGUAAGUUUUGCAAUCCUCUACAUAUCAUUCUUCCCACAGCUCUAUCUGAAAAUUCCAUAUAUAUGUUCAACUUAUCUCUCUUCGUGUGUUGUGAAUUGUGUAUUAGAUUUGAGUAUUACAUUUGUACUUUUACAAUUCUUUUUUUUUUUUAUAAUCUUGAAGUGCUCUAGGAAUUAUAAUUAUUAUAUCAUGUUGGAUUUUUAAGAAUUUUGGUUUUUAUGAUAUUUUGUAAAAAAUUAGAGAGUGAUGUGUUUCUAGGGACAAAAGACGAAGACUUGAAAAAUCAACCCUCGUCUUUUUCCUCAUCGUCCCAUUAGAAAUCUCAGUUUUCUCUUCAAUCUUAUCUUCUUCCUCAGAAUCCUCUUCACAUCGACCACAGGUUUCUUCAUCCAUCGACUUAUUGAAAUUUCUUGUAGUAUAAGUUAAACCAAAAUGUGUGGAAACUAUUCAACACAAAAGACUUUUCACUCUCUUCUUUCAACGUGAAUAACACUUCGUACGAAGGACUAAAUGGUGAGCCAAGCGAAGCUGAGUGGAUAUGGAGCACUGACUAUAUGUAUUUAAAGAGAUGGCAUGAAAACAAUUUAACCAUCACAAUUUCCAUUUGCUCGCUUCUUUUUCACUAUUGAUUUUCAAGAAAGUUAAAAAUUAGCUUAAAGAAAAAACGAAAGGCUCUUGAAACUCAAUGAGUACCAUUCAUAUUUCUCUUUCUUUUCUCCUCUUGUUCGUUUUUAGUUUUCAUGACGUGUUUGCUGCUCCUACUAGACACUUGUGUCGUCCGGAGCAAAGGGAUGCACUUCUCGAGUUCAAGAAUGAGUUUGAGAUUCGGAAGCCUUCUUUUGAGUGUUAUGUUAAUGGUAGCUAUGUGCGCCCUUACCCGAAGACGGAGUCAUGGGCAAAUAACACUGAUUGUUGUUAUUGGGAUGGGAUCAAGUGCGAUGCCAAAUCUGGGGAAGUGAUCGAGCUAGACCUCAGUUGCAGCUGUCUCUACGGCAAGUUUCGUUCCAAUACCAGUCUGUUUAGGCUUCACAGCUUUCGUUUUCUCACCACUUUAUACGUUUCAUAUAAUGAGUUACAUGGUCAAAUCCCGUUCUCAAUUGGAAAUCUUUCUCUUCUUACUUCUCUCGACCUUUCUUCCAAUGGGUUUUCGGGUCAGAUUCCAUCUUCAAUUGGAAAUCUAUCACUGCUUACCUUUCUGAGACUUUCUGAUAAUCAGUUUUCGGGUCAGAUUCCAUCUUCAAUUGGAAAUCUUUCACAGAUUACCACUCUCCGUUUUUCCUUUAAUCAGUUUUCGGGUCAGAUUCCGUCUUCAAUUGGAAAUCUUUCACUUCUUACCUCUCUUGAUCUUUCUUCCAAUCAGUUUUCGGGUGAGAUUCCAUCUUCAAUUGGAAAUCUUUCACUGCUUACCUCUCUCUAUCUUUCUUUCAAUCAGUUUUUGGGUCAGAUUCCAUCAUCAAUUGGAAAUCUUUCACUGCUCACCUCUCUCCAUCUUUCUUAUAAUGGGUUUUCGGGUGAGAUUCUAUCAUCAAUUGGAAAUCUUUCACUGCUCACCUCUCUUCAUCUUUCUUAUAAUGGGUUUUCGGGUGAGAUUCCAUCCUCAAUUAAAAAUCUUUCACAGCUCACCUUUCUCAAACUUUCUUCCAAUCAGUUUUCGGGUCAGAUUCCAUCUUCAAUUAAAAAGCUCUCUCAUCUCCAAACUCUUCACCUCAGAUAUAACAAAUUCACUGGUGAAAUCCCAGAUUCUUUUGCCAGUUUGAAAAAUUUGACCGAGUUAGAUGUUAGUUUCAAUAAGCUUAGUGGUAAUUUUCCAAUUUGGCUACUAAAUUUGACAAAGUUGUCGUAUUUAUCACUCGAAUACAAUCAACUCACAGGAACGCUUCCCUCAAACAUUAGCUCACUCUCCAACUUGCGAUAUUUUUGGGCACGUGACAAUGAUUUCGUUGGAACCAUUCCUUCUUCUCUCUUCACCAUUCCUUCUUUGACAAGAAUUUAUUUGUCAAAUAACCAACUCAACGGCACUCUUGAGUUUGGGAAUAUAUCUUCACCAACAAAGCUAGAGUGGUUAGAGCUUGGCGGUAACAACUUGAGAGGGCCAAUACCGAGAUCCAUUUCCAAAUUAGUCAACCUCCGGGGACUUUACCUUUCCAAUUGGAACACCCAAUUAGGCCCAAUUGACUUGAGUAUCUUCUCGCAUCUCAAGUCACUCGGAUUUCUUUACUUAUCCCAUUUGAACACCACCACCACGAUUGACUUGAAUGCCAUCUUAUCAUUUUUCAAGUCGCUCGAAGGAUUGGAUCUCUCAGGCAACCAUGUUUCAGCCGAAACCAAGAGCUCAGUUUCAGAUCCUCCUUCGCAAAUGAUACGAGAAUUAAACUUGUCAGGCUGCGGUAUUACCGAAUUUCCAGAGAUCAUAAGAACCCUGCAGUCUAUGGAGAGACUAGACAUUUCCGACAACAAAAUCAAAGGUCAAGUGCCUGGCUGGUUAUGGACUCCACCAAAUCUGACGUACGUGAAUCUUUCCAACAACACUUUCGUCAGUUUCGGAAGACCAACGAAACAUGGACUAUCCUCUGGCUUGUGGUACUUGUCUGGCUCCAGAAACAAUUUCACGGGAAAGAUUCCCUCCUUCAUAUGUGCGUUGGGCUCUCUAAGCGUUCUCGAUUUAUCUGAAAACAACUUCACGGGAAAGAUUCCCUCCUUCAUAUGCGCGUUGGGCUCUCUAAGCGUUCUCGAUUUAUCUGAAAACAACUUCAAUGGUUCAAUCCCUCUUUGUAUGGAGAAUCUCAAGAGUAAUCUUUCGGUUCUAAACCUCCGUCAGAAUCAUCUUAGCGGAGGCCUUCCGGAGAAUGUAUUUGAAAGUCUAAGGUCCCUUGACGUUGGUCAUAACCAACUGGUGGGAAAGCUUCAAAGAUCUUUGAUCCAUUUCUCUGCCCUUGAAGUUCUAAAUCUGGAAAGCAACAGAUUCAACGACACCUUUCCGUUUUGGUUGAGUUCUCUACAAAACCUGCAAGUUCUUGUCUUACGCUCCAAUGCAUUCCAUGGACCGAUUCAUCGAGCCUCCUUCCUUCAGCUGAAAAUCAUGGACAUCUCGCAUAAUCACUUCAACGGAGUUUUACCGUCGGAUUACUUUGUGAACUGGAGUAAAAUGUCAUCACUUGGGACAGAAAAAGAUCGGUCGGAUGUAAACUACAUGGGAGAAGGUACCUAUUACGAAGAUUCAAUGGUUUUGAUGAAUAAAGGCUUAGAGAUGGAGCUGGUACGUAUAUUAAAAAUCUUCACAGCACUCGACUUCUCCGGAAAUAGAUUUGAAGGAGAGAUUCCAAGGUCCAUCGGCCUAUUGAGAGAGCUUCACGUGCUCAACUUGUCAAACAAUGCUUUCACUGGCCACAUUCCAUCAUCUAUGGGGAACCUGACAGCUCUCGAGUCACUUGACGUUUCCCAAAACAAGCUUUCAGGUGAGAUCCCACAAGAGCUAGGGAAUCUCUCGUACCUUUCUUCCAUGAACUUCUCUCAUAACCAGCUUGUCGGUCUAGUACCUGGAGGCACUCAGUUUCGAACGCAGCCUUGCUCUUCCUUCGAACACAACUCAGGACUUUUUGGCCCUUCUCUUGACGAAGUUUGCAAAGAUAUCCACAAGCCAUCAUCGCAAGAGUAUGAAACACCGGAGGAGGCAGAGGAAGAAGACGAAGAGGUGUUUAGUUGGAUUGCAGCUGCAAUAGGAUUUGGACCUGGCAUUGUAUUAGGAUUGACGAUUGGAUACAUAUUGGCCUUCUACAAACCGAGGUGGUUCACGAGUCCUUUUGGCCGAAACAAACACAGAAGCAGAAGCACCACAGCUCAUUAAGUGAGGUAAUCUUCUGAAUUUCAUAGAUUAUAGACUAUGUAUAGUAUAAUGAAUUUUUCUGGGUUAAUGUAUACUGUAUGUGAAAAUUAACUUUUUACGCCGUUUUUGUUUGUAUAGCGUUCUUAAACCCAAGAUGAAAAAUCUUUGAAAAAGAGAAUGAAGCAACCAGACCAUAGGACUGUAGAGAAAGAAGCUUGGGGAGAAGGCAACCCAUUUUAUCAAAAACUAAAUAUCAGUGAUUGUUUCCGGUUUAGUUUUGUGUGUUUAUCAUAUACUCUGUUUUUAGCCAAUGUUUUUGUUUCUCUGUAAUUGAACAAUGAAAGACUGUUUACAAAGCUCAAACUUAUUCCUAUUUCUCUGUGAUUGGACAUGAUUUGAGAGAGGUUAUAAUGCUCUUGCUCCGACUAAAUCAAUCAUUCUUCUGCCAAAUGAAGAACUAAGAUUCAACACACAUCUCAGAAAAUUGAUCCUUUUUCUCUUUUGGUAAUAUUAAUUAGCUGAGUAAAAUGAUAACUUAAUUAGUUUAUUGAAAGAUAUUUCACUGAGAAAUAUAUUAGUUAGUGGCGAUCAGGAUCAGCGACCAAUUAAAGCUAUAGAUAUAGUUGCUUAAAACCCAAGCUUUGCCAUUACAAUGAGGAAAAAAAAUCAUCUCACAAAUCAUUCCACUUUCCAACUACUGAAACUCUACAAUAGUCAAAUGACUCAAAUCGGAAUAAGAAAGUUAUACAUACACACAUAAUUUAAGGUCACAAUGACAAAAUCGUCGGUCUUACCAAAAAGAGUAUAAGUAUUCAUCAAAAGACAUCUUCUAAAAUGAAUUAUAUUAAAAAAAUUUGGUGAAAACAAACAAGAAAUUUUUACUGCUUAAUUAUUUUUGUUUUUAAAAACCAAAAGGUAAAUGGAAGUCGCUCUAAUUUUUACUUAUAAACCAAAACAAGAAAUUUUCAGUUAUAUCGUUCUAAGAUGAUGCAAUUGAUAGUAUAAUCUAUACGACUCUAUACUCCACUGAUACUUUUUCGUUUUUAAGCAGACAACUUUUCAGAGUACAAAUCUUUUGUUAUUUUUAUUCCUGGGAGAUGUAUAUCCUAUAAACAAAACUGUGUUAAAUGGAAGGACUUCAUGGACACCAAAACCAGAGGAGAAACGAAGACAGACGGUUUAGAAAUAUUUUGAUCACAUCCAAAAAAUAUAAUUCGAUAUUUUUUAUCAGAUUAAAGAAAAAACGUAUCAUUUUGAUCACAUCACAAAGUCAGUGCAAAAUCACAUCCAAAAAACUGUGAUAAUUUUGAUCACAUCACAAAGUCAGUGCAAAAUCAUAUAAAAAAAAUUCGAAUAAAGAAAAAACGUAUCAUGCCAAACGAAACCAAACAAAUAAAUAGAUAACAGUUGACUGACCGAGUCAGUCAUGGACAAAAACGAAGACUUGAAAAGUCAACUCCGGUCUUCUUCCUUAUUGUCCCACCAAUAAUUUACUUUUUUUCCUUCAAUCUCAUCUUCUUCCUCAAUCCUCUGAACAUCGACCACAUAUUUCUUCAUCCAUUGACCUCAAAACUUGACUUUCAUAGUUUCACUAUUGACUCUCUUUCUUUCUCUCUCUCUCUCUAGAUUUUCCAACAAAGCUAUGGAGAAACUCUGUUUUCGAAACUCAUUUUCUCUCUUUAUGACGACUGUGGUCAUUAUUCUUCUUCCUCGUUGCACUCUUUCUGCUACUUCUAUAUAUUCUCAUCGUCCCGAGAAGUUUUACGUCAACUGUGGGUCGGAUUCUAUUGUCACUUAUGGUGGUCGGACCUUCGUCGGAGAUAUGAUCUCCGGUGGCAACUCCGUUUCUUUCAACAGUAAAGGAACUGAAGCCAUCAAUCAAUCAGGAUCAGGAAUCUAUGAAACGGUUAGGAUAUUCAGACGCCCUUCUUCUUACAAGUUCCAACUCGAUUCCAUUGGUCUGCACUUCGUGCGUCUCCAUUUCUCUGCUGUCUCUUCUCGGACAGAGCUUUUAACUGCUCGUUUCACAGUCUCAGCUACUUCUCACUUGAAAAGUUUCUCGCUUCAGAAUUUCAAUGAGACCCCACGAGUUGAGGAGUUUCUCCUGAUGAUUGACUCGCCAGAAUUCGAAAUUCGAUUUGUGCCCGAUCAUUCAUCCAUGGCUUUUGUCAACGCCAUCGAAGUGUUCUCUGCUCCUAAUGAC
rnacentral:lncRNA from 1 species